ensembl:lncRNA novel transcript
AGGCUGAGUGUUCAUGUCACCAGAAGUCUGACUCGCCUGCUGUGCUCUUGCCUGCUGUGCUCUCGUAAUUACUUUCGGAAAGGUUUUCUGGCUACAAUAAAAUCUGAUUAAAUUUGUUACCAAGCAAAUUGAAUUGUUCAGGCUGCAACCUUUCUAGAAGUUUUAAACGUUAUUUAAAAGAAGAUUUCAACCUCACUCCAUUUCAGCUUUCUCUGGGGAGCUGCUCUUGUGCUGUUUGGCCCCUGCCUACUCGGAAUGGAACAAAGCAUCGAACAAACAACUGAGAUCCUGUUGUGCCUAUCACCUGUUGAAGUUGCCAGUCUUAAGGAAGGAAUCAAUUUCUUUCGCAAUAAGAGCACUGGCAAAGACUACGUCUUGUACAAGAAUAAGAGCCGACUGAGGGCAUGCAAGAAUAUGUGCAAGCACCAAGGAGGCCUGUUCAUAAAAGAUAUCGAGGAUUUAGCCGGAAGUUGUUGAAAUGGAUGAAAACAACGGACUUUUGCUUUUAGAACUGAAUCCUCCUAACCCUUGGGACUUACAGCCCAGAUCUCCUGAAGAGUUGGCUUUUGGAGAAGUACAGAUAACAUAUCUCACUCAUGCCUGCAUGGACCUCAAGUUAGGAGACAAGAGAAUGGUGUUUGACCCUUGGUUAAUCGGUCCUGCUUUUGCCCGUGGAUGGUGGUUGCUCCAUGAGCCUCCAUCUGAUUGGCUGGAGAGGCUGUGCCAGGCAGACCUCAUUUACAUCAGUCAUCUGCACUCAGACCACCUGAGUUACCCCACACUGAAAAAGCUUGCUGGGAGAAGACCAGAUAUUCCCAUUUAUGUUGGAAACACAGAAAGGCCUGUAUUUUGGAAUCUGAAUCAGAGCGGUGUCCAGUUGACUAAUAUCAAUGUCGUGCCAUUUGGAAUAUGGCAGCAGGUGGACAAAAAUCUUCGAUUCAUGAUCUUGAUGGACGGUGUUCAUCCUGAGAUGGACACUUGCAUUAUUGUGGAGUACAAAGGUCAUAAAAUACUCAAUAUAGUAGACUGCACCAGACCCAAUGGGGGAAGGCUGCCUAUGAAGGUUGCUCUAAUGAUGAGUGAUUUUGCUGGAGGAGCAUC